GGCGCAGUGGGUUGACCGGCCCCUGCUAAGGGAGUAGGCUGGCUCAAAACCGGCGCGAGGGUUCAAAUCCCUCCUUCUGCGCCA
rnacentral:tRNA from 1 species